CAAUUAUUUUAAUUGAAGCUUUGGCGUUUCUAUUAGAAUAUAGUUUUCAUAUAUUCUUCGUAAAUAGAAAAAUUUUACCAAUAUUACAUAAGAAGAUCAUAUAAAAAGAAGAAAUUUAUCGAGUCCCUGGUGUAUUUUGAAUACUGUUCAAUAAAGGAGAGAAUGAUAUUGUUUGGAAUAUUUUUCUUGCUGAUUGUGCUUUCUUCUGUAUGUGGCCUGUAUCCCGGGAAUAAAUGGAUAGAAGCAGAACGGAGAAUGUGGGAAAAGAACAGAAGACCAGUUACUAUCGAUUAAUUGUAAUAUUUUUUAGCUAUUAUGAUUGUGAAUAAAAAAGGAAAUUAUAAAAAACCUU